GCCUGGGUGGUUCGGUCGGUUAAACCUCUGACUUCAGCUCAGGUUAUUGUCUCGUGGUUCGUGGGUUCGAGCCCCGCGCCGGGCU
rnacentral:tRNA from 1 species